rnacentral:lncRNA from 1 species
GCUGAUGGGUCAGGGUUUGGCAUUUUGAAAAUAAUUUUCAAAUUUGAAAGGUUUUAUUUUCUGUUCACCAAAUGUGUUGACUCAUUUCACAAAUGGAUCAGCACAUUUCAUAAAUAGAAAUCUUAUUGCUAAUUACAUAACAGAAAAUAACUCAAUCAAAAUAAAUCAUGAAUAUUCCUUUAGAUCUAAUCUAACACAUUCAUGAUAAAUUUUAUAAUUGAACCUUUACAAUUAAGUCCUUUCGCUGCUUCAUCUGCAUGGGAUAUAAUC